GCCAGCGUAGCUCAGUUGGUAGAGCACCGCUCUCGUAAAGCGGGGGUCACCGGUUCGAGCCCGGUCGCUGGCUCCA
rnacentral:tRNA from 88 species